rnacentral:rRNA from 1 species
AUUGAACGCUGGCGGCAUGCCUUACACAUGCAAGUCGAACGGCAGCACGGGUGCUUGCACCUGGUGGCGAGUGGCGAACGGGUGAGUAAUACAUCGGAACAUGUCCUGUAGUGGGGGAUAGCCCGGCGAAAGCCGGAUUAAUACCGCAUACGAUCUACGGAUGAAAGCGGGGGACCUUCGUGCCUCGCGCUAUAGGGUUGGCCGAUGGCUGAUUAGCUAGUUGGUGGGGUAAAGGCCUACCAAGGCGACGAUCAGUAGCUGGUCUGAGAGGACGACCAGCCACACUGGGACUGAGACACGGCCCAGACUCCUACGGGAGGCAGCAGUGGGGAAUUUUGGACAAUGGGCGAAAGCCUGAUCCAGCAAUGCCGCGUGUGUGAAGAAGGCCUUCGGGUUGUAAAGCACUUUUGUCCGGAAAGAAAUCCUUGGCUCUAAUACAGUCGGGGGAUGACGGUACCGGAAGAAUAAGCACCGGCUAACUACGUG